AUUGAACGCUGGCGGCAGGCUUAACACAUGCAAGUCGAGCGGGGUGAUGGUGCUUGCACUAUCACUUAGCGGCGGACGGGUGAGUAAUGCUUAGGAAUCUGCCUAUUAGUGGGGGACAACAUCUCGAAAGGGAUGCUAAUACCGCAUACGUCCUACGGGAGAAAGCAGGGGAUCACUUGUGACCUUGCGCUAAUAGAUGAGCCUAAGUCGGAUUAGCUAGUUGGUGGGGUAAAGGCCUACCAAGGCGACGAUCUGUAGCGGGUCUGAGAGGAUGAUCCGCCAAACUGGGCCUGAGACACGGCCCAGACUCCUACGGGAGGCAGCAGUGGGGAAUAUUGGACAAUGGGGGGAACCCUGAUCCAGCCAUGCCGCGUGUGUGAAGAAGGCCUUAUGGUUGUAAAGCACUUUAAGCGAGGAGGAGGCUCUUUUGGUUAAUACCCAAGAUGAGUGGACGUUACUCGCAGAAUAAGCACCGGCUAACUCUGUGCCAGCAGCCGCGGUAA
rnacentral:rRNA from 1 species